rnacentral:rRNA from 1 species
UACGAAGGGGGCUAGCGUUGCUCGGAAUCACUGGGCGUAAAGGGUGCGUAGGCGGGUUUUUAAGUCAGGGGUGAGAUCCUGGAGCUCAACUCCAGAACUGCCUUUGAUACUGAAGAUCUUGAGUCCGGGAGAGGUGAGUGGAACUGCGAGUGUAGAGGUGAAAUUCGUAGAUAUUCGCAAGAACACCAGUGGCGAAGGCGGCUCACUGGCCCGGUACUGACGCUGAGGCACGAAAGCGUGGGGAGCAAACAGG